GGGGGACGCGCAGGGCCGAGUGUGCCCGAGCCCGGGCGCGUACACGUGUCCGUGUGUGUGUGCGGGAGUGUGCGAGGGAGAGAGGCGAGGCGAGGAGAGGAGCCUACCAUGCGCUUCCCCCGGUGCGGAUCGCGGGAGAGCCCAAUCGCGGGGCGAGCUGGACCUGGCUGUGAUCAUUUAUAAUCCUUGACUCCUCCGCUCCGCCACUUGUCAAGAUGACAGGGGUCAUCCGUGAAUAACACUUCACGCUGAUGAAUGGCUCUUGCCGGCUUUCGGCUCUGAUGAGGGGUCUGCCCGCCGCUGAUUGCAAACACUAAUGAACUUACUGCGCCAGUUGAAAUUCACACGCACCAACAAAGUGCGGGGGGGUGGGCAUCAGGUCAGCUGAGUCACCCGAGGAGGUGGGAGUGCAAGACACUGCCGGGAAGACGGAUUCCGCGGCAGAAGGGUGUAAUUAAGGAUUUCCACCCCCGCCCCAGCUCGGCACUGUCGCGGAACAACUGUCUGCCCCCGGGUUCAAGCACCUAGCCCUCCCCCCAGCAGCACCUGGCCAAGGGCGGACGCUGGAUCCCCCCCGAAGGCUCCACUCCCCACAUUUACUACUCUCCCUUCCUCUCCAUUCUCCCCUCCGAAUAGCAGCCAAACACUUGUCCCUGCCUCGAUUUUGUUGGCUAUGGGAGGAAUAAAAGUUUGCUGCUCUUCCCACGACACUGCCACUUUCUACUCACUGAAGUUCCCACCGCAGCGCGGACUCCCGGCUCCCCAGCCCCCGCCCCUUGGCUGCAAGAAAGCCCUCCCCCGGAGCUUCCGAAACUGCUGGAAGUUCCGGAGUUUUGUAGCUCCGAAUGGGCGACCUGAGCCCUGAGCCGAACCGCUCUCUGGCUCGGCGGUCCGCGG
rnacentral:lncRNA from 1 species